rnacentral:rRNA from 1 species
GAUGAACGCUGGCGGCGUGCCUAAUACAUGCAAGUCGAGCGAACAGACGAGGAGCUUGCUCCUCUGACGUUAGCGGCGGACGGGUGAGUAACACGUGGAUAACCUACCUAUAAGACUGGGAUAACUUCGGGAAACCGGAGCUAAUACCGGAUAAUAUAUUGAACCGCAUGGUUCAAUAGUGAAAGACGGUUUUGCUGUCACUUAUAGAUGGAUCCGCGCCGCAUUAGCUAGUUGGUAAGGUAACGGCUUACCAAGGCAACGAUGCGUAGCCGACCUGAGAGGGUGAUCGGCCACACUGGAACUGAGACACGGUCCAGACGCCUACGGGAGGCAGCAGUAGGGAAUCUUCCGCAGUGGGCGAAAGCCUGACGGAGCAACGCCGCGUGAGUGAUGAAGGUCUUCGGAUCGUAAAACUCUGUUAUGGGGGAAGAACAAAUGUGUAAGUAGCUAUGCACGUCUUGACGGUACCUAAUCAGAAAGCCACGGCUAACUACGUG